rnacentral:rRNA from 1 species
UACGGAGGGUGCAAGCGUUGUCCGGAUUUAUUGGGUUUAAAGGGUGCGUAGGCGGAUUGAUAAGUCAGUGGUGAAAGGCAGCGGCUCAACCGUUGAGUUGCCAUUGAUACUGUGAGUCUUGAGUGCACUAGAGGUAAGCGGAAUUUAUGGUGUAGCGGUGAAAUGCAUAGAUACCAUAAAGAACACCAAUAGCGAAGGCAGCUUACUAGAGUGUAACUGACGCUGAGGCACGAAAGCGUGGGGAGCGAACAGGAUUAGAAACCCCCGUAGUCC